ensembl:lncRNA
UGGGAGGCAAUGGUCCUGUGUUUGCCCACAAUGGCCUCAGGGUAUCGGCCUUGUCGGUUGACACGUCAGGGUGUCCAGGACCAUAGAGCUUGUCUGCAUCUCAUGCCUGGCAGUUUAUUCUGGUUUGGAAUCUGUUUCUCUGGCUGAACGGUCCCAGGGCUUCUAGCCUGCCCGUGGGGCUGUGGGGUCCAGGCCCCUCCCCUGCUCAGCCCCUGCUUUGGGCCCCCUGAGUCUGUCCUCUCAUAGCACAGACCCCAGGCCAGUCAGUGGGCCCCCAGGUGGGGGUGAGUCACUUCCUGGCUCCAGGCUGACAGAAGAGGAUUACUCUAAUUGUGCCCAGCUGACACCAGCGUUGGUGUGGGCUAACACAGGUGCCUGUGACCCUCGACCCUGAGAGAGAGAGAGAGAGAGAGAGAGAGUGUGUGUGUGUGUGUGUGUGUGUGUGUCCUCUUCCACAGGCCUUUGGGCAAAGUGGAAGCUCAACCUAGGUACCCACCCCUGAGCCUUCCUCUCCUUCCCCCUGUGCCUGCCCUCCCUCGUGGACAUUUAAUUCUGUUCAAGGCCCAUGCUAUGACACAUCCCUCCUUUCCUCCGAAUUAAACAACUCACAGAUAUCUUCUCCUGCACUGCAGGACCCUAUGCUGAGGCCCAGAGCUAAAUUCAUCCUCGACCCUGGUCUGGAGGGUCUAACAGCCUGGCAGGGGAGACACAGGCCAUGAUACCUAUGGCCCCAGGCAGGGGCCUGAGAAAACCACAGCGAGGUUUGGAAGAUGAGCAGGGGUUUUCCUGCGGGCAAAGGGGGCAAGGCACUCCUGGGAGAAGGAACUGCUCCUACAAACGCUGCUGCUCAGAGAAGGAGAGUGGCUGACACACGAGAAUGGAGAGAGCUAAGGCCAGAUCAGGGAGGGCCAUGAAUGCCAGAUUGCGGAGUUCAGCUUGACUGUGGGCACGAGGAAAUGGGGGCUCAGGCGUGCAUUUUAGAAGGUCCUGCAAGAAGAUGAAGCAAGGACUGCAGGAGAGCAGUUGGGAGGGGAUCAUCCUAAAGUGGAUGCUCAGUGGCCUAGGCUGGGCCAAGGAGG